AUUGAACGCUGGCGGCAGGCCUAACACAUGCAAGUCGAACGAGUGGCGGACGGGUGAGUAAUGUCUGGGGAACUGCCCGAUGGAGGGGGAUAACUACUGGAAACGGUAGCUAAUACCGCAUACCAUCAGAUGAACCCAUAUGGGAUUAGCUAGUUGGUGGGGUAAAGGCUCACCAAGGCGACGAUCGCUAGCUGGUCUGAGAGGAUGACCAGCCACCCUGGGACUGAGAAACGGUCCAGACUCCUACGGGAGGCAGCAGUGGGGAAUAUUUCACAAUGGGCGCAAGCCUGAUGCAGCCCUGCCGCGUGUAUGAAGAAGGCCUUCGGGUUGUAAAGUACUUUCAGCGGGGAGGCGUUACCCGCAGAAGAAGCACCGGCCAACUCCGUGCCAGCAGCCGCGGUAAUUC
rnacentral:rRNA from 1 species